CAGCGCCUAGCACAUGCAAGUCGAACGAAGGCUUCGGCCUUUCUCGGCGCACGGGUGCGUAACGCGUGGGAAUCUGCCCCUCGGUUCGGAACAACAGUUAGAAAUGACUGCUAAUACCGGAUGAUGACGUAAGUCCAAAGAUUUAUCGCCCUGGGAUGAGCCCGCGUAGGAUUAGCUAGUUGGUGUGGUAAGAGCGCACCAAGGCGACGAUCCUUAGCUGGUCUGAGAGGAUGAUCAGCCACACUGGGACUGAGACACGGCCCAGACUCCUACGGGAGGCAGCAGUGGGGAAUAUUGGACAAUGGGCGCAAGCCUGAUCCAGCAAUGCCGCGUGAGUGAUGAAGGCCUUAGGGUUGUAAAGCUCUUUUACCCGGGAUGAUAAUGACAGUACCGGGAGAAUAAGCUCCGGCUAACUCCGUGCCAGCAGCCGCGGUAAU
rnacentral:rRNA from 1 species